GGUCACACUUUAAAUACAAUAGAAGUUCUGGUUUGAUGAUGGAAAAGUUUGACAAUUCCUACCAAUUUCCAUUGUCCGAAACGCUCCCCCUUAUUCUUUCUAAAAAAUUUGAUAACACAAAUUAUCAAGGGCAAAAUUCAAAUACAGAAAUUUUUGAAAAUUUUAUGUCAGGAAAAUUAUUUCGAAGUUUCGAAAAUAAUCCUUUGUGUUUGCAAAUUUAUUAUGAUGAUGUAGAAAUAUGUAACCCGUUAGGAUCCAAAGCCAAAAUUCAUAAACUUGCAAUGUUUUAUUUUACUAUUUCCAAUUUUCUUCCACAUUUAAAAGUUCAGUUAUAUAACAUUUUUCCACUUUUAAUUGUAAAGUCUAAAUAUUUAAAGGAGUAUGGAAUGAAUUUAAUUCUCAAACCAAUUGUAAUUGAAUUAAACUCCUUACACAUAAAUUCCACCAGAUUAAGUUUUUUAUCCAAGACUCCAUUUACACAUGUACAAGUACUUCAAUUUUGUGGCGAUAAUCUUGGUUUGCAUACACUAUUUGGGUUCACAGAAAGUUUUAACGCAAAUUUUAGAUGUAGAUUUUGUAAGAUGGGUAAGCAGCAGACUUUCACUGCCAUUGAGGAAGUAAUCGCACAAAGACGAAGCCUAGAAGACUAUGAAAAUGAUUUACAAAUUAAUAAUGUUAGCUUGACAGGUAUUAGGGAAGGGACUAUUUUAAAUGAUAUUAAAGGUUUUCACAUUACAUCCAACUUUGCUCCAGAUAUUAUGCAUGAUGUACUGGAGGGCAUUUGUAUAACUGAAUUAAAACUGUUUUUAAAGCAUGUGUGCCAAAACGGCUUUUUCUCUCUUACAGAAAUUAACCACAGGAUAUCAUCGUCCAUUAAAAGUUAUUCUCAUUCCAUUUCCAAAUUACCAGAAAUUGACAUCGGUUUUGUUGAAGGAGACAAAAAAACCUGCUUUUCUGCAUCGGAAAUGAGCCACUUUUUCUUAAUUUUCCCCGCCAUAUUUGGUGAUAAAUUGUCUAACGACGAUAAGCAUUGGAUUUUAGUUUUACGGUUACGUAGGAUUAUUAGAAUCUUAAUGGCACCACAAAUAAGUAGGCCAGGGAUCAAGUUGCUAAAUUAUUUAAUUUCUGAGCAUCAUGAAACAUUCAUUAACUUGGCUCAUAGUAACUUGACCCCAAAAUUCCAUCACUUGUUACACUACGCCAACGCUGUAGAGCACUUGGGACCUCUUAAACAAUAUUGGUGCAUGCGGUUUGAAGCAAAGCAUCGAUUGGCAAAAACUAUUGGCAAAAACUCGUACAAUUUCAAAAAUAUUUCCAAGACUAUUGCAAGGCGCAUAUCACUUAACAUUGCAUUUUCACUAUGUGAAGAAGUAGGCAGUGGAAUAAAUUACAAGUCCGGGUCAAGGACAAUGUUUAACGAUUUGAAGGUUGUGUUCGAUUUUUCUAAACUCUCCAUCAAUCCAAACGACGAUGUACUUAUUGUUGACUCGCUCACGAUUAAUUGAUGACCCGCAUGGUGAUGGUUUAAUUUGUUGCCCAAUUGAAUUAGUUUAAAAGAAUUUUUUGUACAUAUGUAUAUAUAGUUAGGGAAAUCAAGCUCAGAGACUGAACAGCGAGCAGAGCGAGCACAAGUGGAGGAAACAAUGAAAAUAAUAGUUAUUGACAACAAUAUUAGCGUCAAUUCUCAAAAUUCUGAGAGUGUUGGAGAUUUGACAGUGGAUCAAGCGGAAGCAGUUGUUAUUUUGCAACCAUUAUUUGAUAUCAAGUCGAUUAUUUUAAAGUCUGACGAGGAGAAAGGUACAACAAAAGGCAAGCAAUUGUUAGAAGAAAUUGGAGAAACUAAUGUCAUCAAUUACCGCAUUAAGACCGUAAUUAAACGCCGCAUUGUUAAUUAUCUUGUCAAGCAGUACAGCUAUUAUCCAUCCAAUCACGAGAAACAAAACCUCGCAGAAUGUGUGGCAUCUCAGUUAUUUCAAAAUUUAUCAAAUCAGCAACAAAAAGAUAUUAUGAAUUUAUUUUAUAGUCCGUCGACAGUCAUCAUAUCAAAUUCGACAGGAUCAAGUGUCCGAAAAAGAAUUCCAGCAUCAGGACUAAUUGAAGAAAGGUUAAGGCAUUUACGGAAGAAGUACAGCGUUGGAUUGUCAAUAAAUGUCGUCAGCAGUAGCUCUGAAUCAUACGCUCCGUCAGAAGACGACGAAGGGAAAAAAUCUUGGCUGGCUUACUCAUCUAGUCCCCAGAGUCAGGUUUUAGAAUAUAUGGCGCAAACCUACCCUAUGAGGACGGCAGAGAUUCGGAAUACAAAGGAUAUUUCGGUAACCCUUUCGCAGUGGCCUCGUUUACUAGAAACUGUUGGAAUGGUAUAAUUAAUUAAUUAAAUGUAAAAGUUUUAGCAUCUAUAAUUUUAUUAUUAAGUACAAGAUCUGUCGCAUUUUAAAUUGAUCAAGAUUUCUCCUUUCGCCACCCAGAGAAAAAUGAGCUGAUGCUUCGAAACUGGACUCAAAUAGGUCAACAAAUUUGGCAAGCCGCUAAAAAUACAAAAUUAGACGUUACAAACGAGCUUGGCAUUUUUUUGGUUCGUAAGUUGAUCUUCGUAAGUUUACGUCGUUACGAAGUUACAAAGGCUAACGUGAAUUACCCUCAGUAUUUAUAUCUCGCGUAAUAUUUGUGACACUCGUAAAUUUCGCCAUGAAUCUUUUUAAUUCUGUCAGUCAACUCGGUAAAUUGAAAAAAACGGUUUCUGAACUUACAAUUCCAAAACGAAAAUCAGAUUAUCGUAAAUUUAUUAGAUUUAUUUUUCCUAAACAUGUGUCCAAUUUGUGAAUUUGAGCAAAUAGGUGUCAAUAAUUUUAUGCGUACACAAUUUGCGUAUAGGAAAGCAUAAAACACUUCGCUGGAAAAAUGGUGUCCAAGAAUUUGUAAAAUUUCACAACUGAAAUAAGAUUUACGUAAACUGACAAUCUCGUUUUUAUAAAAUAUGUGCCAAAUUUGUUGGUCGAAAUGCAUGCUAAUGAUUUUAUUCGUAAGUAAUUUACAUAAAAUAGCGUUAAAAGACUUGGACUAUGUAAAGAUAAAUUAUAGGUUGAUAAGUUCAAAGUCGAAAAUGUAAUUUGGAUGGAUUUUAUUAAUUAUUAAAAUUAUACAAUUUAGGUACAAUAAUUUAAUUACUAUGCCAUUCUGUCAUUUUUCUGAGGUGAGAAAAGUAACCAAGGGCUACCCUCACGACAGAAAAGCGCAUGGUUACGGCGAAGCCAAGGUAUGCUUUCAAGACAGGGUCCUAAAACUUCCGCCACGGCCACAGCUCGAACGGUUGCAUUUAUCGAAAAAUUGUUGAAACAAAAAAAUCAGACAAUUAUGAAAUCUAGUGUCUUUUCAUCUUUCUCGUUACGAAAGUCUAAUAUUGCAAGAAUUUUAGGACCUUUGAAACUUUAAAAUGAACCGGAAAUUCAAUUUUGCCAUACAAUGAUCAUGCCCGACAUUGAUUUUAUUGUCCGGGCGCUGACCACGCAUCAUUUGAGAUACGUUCGAGAAAAAUCGGUUGGAAAAUGAGAAACUUUUGAUGGUGGUAUCUGCAGCCAUUUACGCUGCUUAAAAGACUAUUCAUAACUGCACCUAUCUGGUUGCUAUUGGUGACCAACGAAAAAGUUCCCACGCAAAAACCAGAAAAUAAAACUACAUUUAAAAAACAGCAUUCUUCGGUGAGGGUGCGACUAAA